rnacentral:rRNA from 1 species
CCUACGGGUGGCAGCAGUGGGGGAUAUUGCACAAUGGGGGCAACCCUGAUGCAGCGACGCCGCGUGGAUGAAGAAGCCCCUCGGCGCGUAAAGCUCUUUCAGCAGGGAAGAAAAUGACGGUACCUGAAGAUGAAUCCCCGGCUCACUCCGUGCCAGCAGCCGCGGUAAUACGUAGGGGGCAGGAGUUAUCCGGAUUUACUGGGUGUUAAGGGGGCGCAGACGGCGGUGCAAGCCAGGAGUGAAAGCCCGGGGCGCAACCCCGGGACUGCUCUUGGAACUGCGUGGCUGGAGUGCAGGAGGGGCAGGCGGAAUGCCGGGUGUAGCGGUGAAAUGCGUAGAGAUCAGGAGGAACACCGGUGGCGAAGGCGGCCUGCUGGACUGCAACUGACGCUGAGGCCCGAAAGCGUGGGGAGCAAACAGGAUUAGAUACCCGAGUAGUC